rnacentral:rRNA from 1 species
GAGUGGCGAACGGGUGAGUAACACGUGGGUGAUCUACCUUCGAGUGGGGGAUAACGUCCCGAAAGGGACGCUAAUACCGCAUGACAUCCUGCCCUUGAACGGGUGGAGAUCAAAGCUGGGGAUCGCAAGACCCGGCGCUUGAAGAGGGGCCCGCGUCCGAUUAGCUAGUUGGUGAGGUAAUGGCUCACCAAGGCGACGAUCGGUAUCCGGCCUGAGAGGGCGGACGGACACACUGGGACUGAGACACGGCCCAGACUCCUACGGGAGGCAGCAGUGGGGAAUUGUUCACAAUGGGCGCAAGCCUGAUGACGCAACGCCGCGUGGAGGAUGAAGGUCUUCGGAUUGUAAACUCCUGUUGCCAGGGACGAAUGGCUCCGACCUAACACGUCGGAGAAUGACGGUACCUGGUGAGGAAGCCCCGGCUAACUCUGUGCCAGCAGCCGCGGUAAUACAGAGGGGGCGAGCGUUGUUCGGAAUUACUGGGCGUAAAGGGCGCGUAGGCGGCCUUCUAAGUCGAACGUGAAAUCCCCGGGCUCAACCCGGGAACUGCGUCCGAUACUGGGAGGCUUGAAUCCGGGAGAGGGAUGUGGAAUUCCAGGUGUAGCGGUGAAAUGCGUAGAUAUCUGGAGGAACACCGGUGGCGAAGGCGGCAUCCUGGACCGGUAU